GGGGUAAGGAACACAACAGCGUCUAUGGAAAUUGGCCAGAACCCGCCCCAUGAGAUUAUGAAGGAUGUGUGUUUCAGGACGCGCAGGAGAUCAGCCAGUGAUACAACGAGCUCUAAUACCAUACCACCCACCUCUGUGAUGCAGAGCACCCCGGAGUCCAGACACAACAAACCAAAGACUGUGUAUGACAAUGCCCCAAAGC
rnacentral:lncRNA from 1 species